CCUGGCUCAGAUUGAACGCUGGCGGCAUGCCUUACACAUGCAAGUCGAACGGCAGCACGGGGGCAACCCUGGUGGCGAGUGGCGAACGGGUGAGUAACAUAUCGGAACGUGUCCUGGAGUGGGGGAUAACUAGUCGAAAGACUAGCUAAUACCGCAUACGAUCUAUGGAUGAAAGUGGGGGAUCGCAAGACCUCAUGCUCGUGGAGCGGCCGAUAUCUGAUUAGCUAGUUGGUGGGGUAAAGGCCUACCAAGGCAUCGAUCAGUAGCUGGUCUGAGAGGACGACCAGCCACACUGGGACUGAGACACGGCCCAGACUCCUACGGGAGGCAGCAGUGGGGAAUUUUGGACAAUGGGCGCAAGCCUGAUCCAGCAAUGCCGCGUGAGUGAAGAAGGCCUUCGGGUUGUAAAGCUCUUUUGUCAGGGAAGAAACGGUUCUGGUUAAUACCUGGGGCUAAUGACGGUACCUGAAGAAUAAGCACCGGCUAACUACGUGCCAGCAGCCGCGGUAAUACGUAGGGUGCAAGCGUUAAUCGGAAUUACUGGGCGUAAAGCGUGCGCAGGCGGUUGUGCAAGACCGAUGUGAAAUCCCCGGGCUUAAG
rnacentral:rRNA from 1 species